AGUGGAUGGGGAGCAACCUAGUUGUGCGUGUGUAAAGGUAGUGCCAAGAAAAGCGAUGAUCAUGUUGAAAAUCAAUUCCCGGUACCCGAAACCGACACAGGUGGGCAAGUAGAGAAUACUAAGGGGCGCGAGGUAACUCUCUCCAAGGAACUCGGCAAAAUGACCCCGUAACUUAGGGAGAAGGGGUGCCACCGAGAGGUGGUCGCAGUGAAGAGGCCCAGGCGACUGUUUAGCAAAAACAUAGGUCUCUGCAAACUCGAAAGAGGAGGUAUAGGGGCUGACGCCUGCCCAGUGCCGGAAGGUUAAAGAAGUUGGUCAGUCUUAGGAUGAAGCUAGCGACUGAAGCCCCGGUGAACGGCGGCCGUAACUAUAACGGUCCUAAGGUAGCGAAAUUCCUUGUCGGGUAAGUUCCGACCCGCACGAAAGGCGUAACGAUCUGGGCGCUGUCUCGGAGAGAGGCUCGGCGAAAUAGGAUUGUCUGUGAAGAUACGGACUACCUGCAUUUGGACAGAAAGACCCUAUGAAGCUUUACUAUAGCUUGGAAUUGUGUUCGGGCUUCCUGUGCGCAGGAUAGGUGGGAGGCGUAGAAGGUAUUCUUGUGGGGAUACUGGAGCCAACGGUGAGAUACCACUCUCAGGAGGCUAGAAUUCUAACUUAAUUAAGGACAGUUUCAGGUGGGUAGUUUGACUGGGGCGGUCGCCUCCAAAAAGGUAACGGAGGCGUACAAAGGUUCCCUCAGACUGGUUGGAAAUCAGUCGAAGAGUGCAAAGGCAGAAGGGAGCUUGACUGCGAGAAGUACAGUUCGAGCAGGGUGGAAACACGGUCUUAGUGAUCCGACGGUGCUGUGUGGACGGCCGUCGCUCAACGGAUAAAAGUUACUCUAGGAUAACAGGCUGAUCUCCCCCAAGAGUUCACAUCGACGGGGAGGUUUGGCACCUCGAUGUCGGCUCAUCGCAACCUGGGGCGGAAGUACGUCCCAAGGGUUGGGCUGUUCGCCCAUUAAAGCGGUACGUGAGCUGGGUUCAGAACGUCGUGAGACAGUUCGGUCCAUAUCCGAUGUAGGCGUGAGAAUAUUGAGAGGAGCCUUCCUUAGUACGAGAGGACCGGGAAGGACGCACCGCUGGUGUACCUGUUAUGAUGCCAAUUGUAAACGCAGGGUAGCCAAGUGCGGAGAGGAUAACCGCUGAAAGCAUCUAAGUGGGAAGCCCACCUCAAGAUGAGUAUUCUGGUGUAAGGUCACGGGAAGACGACCCGUAAAUAGGCACGAGGUGGAAGUGCAGAGAUGUAUGAAGCCGAAGUGUACUAAUAGACCGUCGGCUUGAC
rnacentral:rRNA from 1 species